rnacentral:misc_RNA from 1 species
UCCCCCUUAUCGGAGGCAGUUUCACUAGAGUGCUCACCAUAACGUGUUAGCAACUAGGGAUGAGGGUUGCGCUCGUUGCGGGACUUAACCCAACAUCUCACGACACGAGCUGACGACAGCCAUGCAGCACCUCCGCAGCAGUCUCUUGCGAGAAAGGGAUGUUUCCACCCCGGUCCACUGCGCUUCGAGCCCAGGUAAGGUGGGGAUGACGUGUCGUUACCUUA